rnacentral:lncRNA from 1 species
UGAGAGCCUUCCAGGAGAAAUAACAAACAUUGGUAGUCAACUUUGCAAAUUAUUUAUUUUUCCCUUUCCUUUGUAAGGAGAGAAAACUGAACAGUGAUGUUACAGAGCAAAAGGAAAGAAAAAAAAGACAUAGAAAUCUAGACAAAAUCUUAUACACUCUUUUUUAUUAUUGAGGAUUAAUUUAUGGUUACUGUGAUUAUCAUACAAAAUAUGCAUAAUUAAAUGCAAUGAAAAACCCCUAUUUAACAUUAAUAAAAAACAGAGACAUGGAGCAGAUCACAGCAACUUUUUGUGUUUUCUUAAAAUAUAUAUAGGCAAUUUUGUAGGAUCAAGGCACAAGCACUGGUGAGAGAAGCAUCAAAAAUUGUGAGAUUUAGAAGCUGUGUGCUGUGUCCUUUGGGCUUGCUACAAACAUGUAGCUUGACUGCCCUGAGCUGGAAAUGAUAACUUCAGUCUUCACGAUUUUGAGUUAAAGCUAUAAAACAGAAUGAAUGAUCUGAAAAACAUCUUUAGAGGGUCUUUGACAUCCUUCAACCUUCUUGAAGUGAUAAACACCAAUAAAACAUGGAUGGAAAGAAAAACUUAGAAUUAUCUCAGGUGAUCAACCGCAUUCCUCCCAGGAAGUCUCUGAAUUCAGGCUUUGAAAUACCUUGUGGUCUCAGGGAAAAACAGCUACAAUUCUGCUGUGGAUUGAAUGUAAUUGCUACCAUUCAAUUCAGAUAUUUUUGAGUAUUUCAGCUGUGUCACAGAAGCAUAGAGCUGAAAAUAGAAUAAGUCUUUAGACCAAGAUAAGGCGCAAGUGCACAGCACAUUCAAGAAUUGUUUAAUUCUUUUGAAGAUUUUCAUGCUUAUGGAAGCAAGAUACAAACAGGAGUCCAAGAACUGGUAGAGAAUGUUGGUCUUUGUGAAACUUCAGCACCCACCUGAAAAAUUCCAUAAAAUGUGGUCCAAAGGAAAACUUAGGAGAGCUUUAGCAUCAGGAGUUGAUGGAGGAGAAACUUGGAGAGAUGCAAAAAGAUGUUUUGUCUACUCUAGGAGGAGAAUCUGGUUUUGAAAGUUAAAGUGAUUGUGACCAAGGAAUAACGAAUAUCUUUAAACUGUUUUUGUAUCAGGAACAAACAGCAAUCCUCAAACUGAUGAGGUGAUAAAAUAUCUGAUGCGAGUACUAGUGAGAGAUGAAGAGAACUGGUCAAAGAAGAUACUAGACAAA